rnacentral:lncRNA from 1 species
UCUUUUGGAGCUUUGGUCCCUUCUAUCAGAGCUUUGUGUUUCUUCACUUGCAUGUGCGCCUUGUCUGUUCUUAUUUAGUUUGUGAGGUGUUUCUUACCUUUUUGCUAGUAGUUGUGCUUCUGGUACUUUAGACAUAUAUCUUUCCGCUUCUUGGUGACGUUGGCCUUCCGAUUAUUACUCCCUCUCUGAUCCGCUUUUUUGGUUCUUUACGUUGGUGCUUGAUCACGCUUAUAUUUGUUCGGGAGAUUGCUUUGUUUCAGAUUUUAUCUUUUUAUCUUUUUUUAAUUUUUACUUGUUCUGGCCAAGACACUUCAAUGAGGUAAGUUAGUCUUCGUGUUUGAUCUCCUUUCAGCUUUAGACCUCUAUUGAAUUAGUGUUACUAUGAAAUUUUGUUUUCCGAGUGAUAAUGGAGGUUUUAUAUUUAAAUUUUGUGUUGUAUUCUAGUUUCUUAUUUUUAGUUUGGUUAUUUUAUAACUUUAAUAGUAAAAUAAAUAUAUAAUUUAUAAAAGAAAUAAUAGAAAAUAGUAAAAAUAAUAAAAUGAUGAAAGUUUAUGCUAUUUUUAGUUAGGAAUAAAGUAAAUAUU